GUGGAAUUCUCGGUGUAGCAGUGAAAUGCGUGGAUAUCGAGAGGAAGACCAAUGGCGAAGGCAGCCUGCUGGACAUUUACUGACGCUGAGGUACGAAGGCCAGGGUAGCGAAAGGGAUUAGAUACCCCUGUAGUCCUGGCAGUAAACGGUGCGCGCUUGGUGUAGGAGGACUCGACCCCUUCUGUGCCGGAGCUAACGCGUUAAGCGCGCCGCCUGGGGAGUACGGUCGCAAGACUAAAACUCAAAGAAAUUGACGGGGACCCGCACAAGCGGUGGAGUAUGUGGCUUAAUUCGAUGCAACGCGAAGAACCUUACCAAGGCUUGACAUGUAUUGCUAAGCACGUGAAAGCGUGUGACCCUUCGGGGACCUUACACAGGUGCUGCAUGGCCGUCGUCAGCUCGUGUCGUGAGAUGUUUGGUUAAGUCCAGCAACGAGCGCAACCCCUGUGAAUAGUUGCCAGCACGUAAUGGUGGGGACUCUAUUCAGACUGCCCAGGUCAACUGGGAGGAAGGUGGGGAUGACGUCAGGUCAGUAUGGCCCUUACGCCUUGGGCUGCACACGUACUACAAUGCCCAGUACAAUGAGAACCGAGACCGCGAGGUGGAGGAAAUCUGCAAAACUGGGCCCAGUUCGGAUUGGAGGCUGCAACUCGCCUCCAUGAAGUUGGAAUCGCUAGUAAUGGCACAUCAGCUACGGUGCCGUGAAUACGUUCCCGGGUCUUGUACACACC
rnacentral:rRNA from 1 species